rnacentral:rRNA from 1 species
AGGGAAUCUUCCGCAAUGGACGAAAGUCUGACGGAGCAACGCCGCGUGAGUGAUGAAGGUUUUCGGAUCGUAAAGCUCUGUUGCCAGGGAAGAACGUCUUCUGGAGUAACUGCCAGGAGAGUGACGGUACCUGAGAAGAAAGCCCCGGCUAACUACGUGCCAGCAGCCGCGGUAAUACGUAGGGGGCAAGCGUUGUCCGGAAUUAUUGGGCGUAAAGCGCGCGCAGGCGGCUGUUUAAGUCUGGUGUUUAAUCCUGGGGCUCAACCCCGGGUCGCACUGGAAACUGGAAGACUUGAGUGCAGAAGAGGAGAGUGGAAUUCCACGUGUAGCGGUGAAAUGCGUAGAGAUGUGGAGGAACACCAGUGGCGAAGGCGACUCUCUGGUCUGUAACUGACGCUGAGGCGCGAAAGCGUGGGGAGCAAAC